UGGGAAUUAGAAGACACUCGUGAAGGCGUC
rnacentral:piRNA from 1 species